rnacentral:rRNA from 1 species
CAGGCGGUUAUACAAGACAGGCGUGAAAUCCCCGGGCUUAACCUGGGAAUGGCGCCUGUGACUGUAUAGCUAGAGUGUGUCAGAGGGGGGUAGAAUUCCACGUGUAGCAGUGAAAUGCGUAGAUAUGUGGAGGAAUACCAAUGGCGAAGGCAGCCCCCUGGGAUAACACUGACGCUCAUGCACGAAAGCGUGGGGAGCAAACAGGAUUAGAUACCCUGGUAGUCCACGCCCUAAACGAUGCUGACUAGUUGUUGGGAAUUUACAUUCUCAGUAACGUAGCUAACGCGUGAAGUCAGCCGCCUGGGGAGUACGGUCGCAAGAUUAAAACUCAAAGGAAUUGACGGGGACCCGCACAAGCGGUGGAUGAUGUGGAUUAAUUCGAUGCAACGCGAAAAACCUUACCUACCCUUGACAUGUCACUAACGAAGUAGAGAUACAUUAGGUGCCCGUAAGGGAAAGUGAACACAGGUGCUGCAUGGCUGUCGUCAGCUCGUAUCGUGAGAUGUUGGGUUAAGUCCCGCAACGAGCGCAACCCUUGUCUUUAGUUGCUACGAAAGAGCACUCUAAAGAGACUGCCGGUGACAAACCGGAGGAAGGUGGGGAUGACGUCAAGUCCUCAUGGCCCUUAUGGGUAGGGCUUCACACGUCAUACAAUGGUGCAUACAGAGGGUUGCCAACCCGCAAGGGGGAGCUAAUCUCAGAAAAUGCAUCGUAGUCCGGAUCGAAGUCUGCAACUCGACUUCGUGAAGCUGGAAUCGCUAGUAAUCGCGGAUCAGAAUGUCGCGGUGAAUACGUUCCCGGGUCUUGUACACACCGCCCGUCAUACCAUGGGAGUGGGUUUUGCCAGAGGCCGUUAGCCUAACCGCAAGGAGGGCGACUGCCACGGCAGGGUUCAUGACUGGGGUAAAGUCGUAACAAGGUAACC